CUUUCCUCCUUCCUUCCUUCUUCCUUCUUCAUCCUUUCUUCUUCUUCUUCUUCUUCUUCUUCUUCUUCUUCUUCUUCUUCUUCUUCUUCUUCUUCUUCUUCUUCUUCUGCUUCUGCUUCUGCUUCUGCUUCUGCUUCUGCUUCUGCUUCUUCUCUCUCUCUCCCUCUCUCCCUCUCUCUGUCUCUCUCUCUCUCUCUGUCUCUCUGUCUGUCUCUGUCUUCUGUCUCUGUCUCUCUCUGUCUCUCUGUCUCUCUGUCUCUGUCUCUAUGUAAGACGCACUCUCUCUCUCUCUCUCUCUCUGUCUCUGUCUCUCUCUCCCCCUUUCUGUAACUUUCAACCAUUCUUCCUACUUCUGCUCUCUGAGGAGCUCUAAAGCAAAAAUUUAAUACCCCUUCCAUGAGUUUAAAAAAAAUGUUGGAACUCCAAAGGGACUUAUAAGCUUGAGUCCCUAUAACAUAGGGACUUAUAAUAACAAAUAUCAGAACUUGAGGAUACUAUACCUCAUAGUAAAGAAUACCAAAACCAGAAUAAACCUUAGAAUAUUAGACUAGAAGAGAUAUUG
rnacentral:lncRNA from 1 species